AGUCGACGGCAGCACGGGGGCAACCCUGGUGGCGAGUGGCGAACGGGUGAGUAAUACAUCGGAACGUGCCCUGUCGUGGGGGAUAACUAGUCGAAAGAUUAGCUAAUACCGCAUACGACCUGAGGGUGAAAGCGGGGGACCGUAAGGCCUCUCGCGACAGGAGCGGCCGAUGUCUGAUUAGCUAGUUGGUGGGGUAAAAGCCUACCAAGGCGACGAUCAGUAGCUGGUCUGAGAGGACGAUCAGCCACACUGGGACUGAGACACGGCCCACACUCCUACGGGAGGCAGCAGUGGGGAAUUUUGGACAAUGGGGGCAACCCUGAUCCACCAAUGCCGCGUGUGUGAAAAAAGCCUUCGGGUUGUAAAGCACUUUUGUCCGGAAAGAAAUGGCUCUGGUUAAUACCCGGGGUC
rnacentral:rRNA from 1 species